rnacentral:tRNA from 1 species
GUAGCUCAGCUGGUUAGAGCGCACGACUCAUAAUCGUGAGGUCAAGAGUUCAAGUCUCUUC